GCUCACUGGGAGGAGAGAAGGAGGCCCUUCCACUCAGAGGGCUGACCUUGAGCCAGGCAACGUGCCUGGGCUGCCCUGCCAACAGUGCCAUCAGUAGAUCCUCCCCUGACCUUGCAGAUGAAUAUCUUUAUGCUGACAUUGCAGGUGUGGGACUUAGAGAAGUCAGGUGAUUCACCAAAGGUCUCACUGCUUCUGAGUGGCAGGGCUGGGACCAGCAGGAGUCUGUCUGACCACGCAGGAAGGGGCCGGGUCACAGAGGAAAACAAAGCCCCAGGAGCUUUCCAGUAAGUUAAGAGAGUUUCUGGCUCCGUGACGUGACUCCUGUGAGAACAGGCUCUGCGGUGUCCUCAGCAUUUGAGGCAGCUUCCCAGGUGGUGCUAGUGAUGAAGAACCUGGCUGUCAAUGCAGGAGACAUAAGAGAUGCGGGUUUGAUCCCUGGGUCAGGACGACCCCCUGGAGGGCAUGGUAACCCACUCCAGUACUCUUGCUUGGAGAAUCCCAUGGACAGAGGAGCCAGGCGGCUUUUCUGAAAUUGCAGAGUUGGACACAACUGAAGCAACUUAACAUCAAGACUCAAAAUGCUGUGGAGAGCAUGAGUGAAGGAAUGGGUGGAUUGGAAGAUGGGCCAGUUGGAGCAUCAGAUUUCCCAAGAAAGGGAGUGUUACACCCGCAAAAUAUGUUUCAGAAGAAUCUAGGCUGUAAAAGAUAAAAACACUAUAAAACCGAUUGAAAAAACCCAUAAAACCUAUUUAAAAUGCUAUAAAACCAAUGGAUGAAAAGAGAAGAGAAUAUUUUCAAGAUCUUGGAGGAUCCUCCCAAGCCAGACACAAAAUGCAAAAGCUAUAAAAUAAAAGGUUGAUAGAUUUGACUCCAUAAAAAUAAAAAGCCCAUACAUGGCAAAAUUACAUGAGAAACCAAGUUAAAAGAUAUUUGACUCAAGAAAAUAUUUAAAACAUGUACAAUGGACAAGAAAUUAAUAGUACAACAUCUAAAGAAAUUCUGUGAGCCCACAAGUGAGACAUAUCCAACCCAGUAGAGAAAAAUUGCCAAAGGAGAGGAAGGGGUAACCCAGAGAAGGAGACACACUCUUAGCCAUUGAACAAUAAAAUAGGUCCCUAUGCUCACCAGUCACUGGAAGAAGCCAAUGGGGACGUAGCUGAGAGGAUGGGAAGGGGUGCACUGCUGGGAUGCAGGUCCCUGGUGCCACAGACACGGGACCGGCAUGGUACCUGCUGCCAGUGGGAAGGCGACCUGGGCAGACUUGGCCACAUUUAAAAUGCAUGCUCCUUGUGACCCAGAAAUUCCCCUUCUAAGAAUCUUUCCUUGCAAAAUGCCAAAGAUGUCCCCUGCCUCGGUGUCUCCUCUAGCACGAGAAGACACCAGGGUCACCUGUGUGUUCCGAGGCAGAAAGGUGGCCGCAUGACAAAGAAUUAUACAGCUGGCGAUGAAACCUCUGCUCUGAUCCUGAAAAAUGUUCUCAGCUUAGUAAGUGAAAAUAAAAGCAAGAUGCAGAAGCACAGCAAUUGCAGGACCCCUUUUGUAUUGUUUAAAGUCCUGCACGUGCAUUCAUGAAGAGGCACACACACGCCUGUGCAGGGAAA